rnacentral:rRNA from 1 species
AUGAUGCACCACCACCACCAGCUGGACCAGUGGCUCGCCGGCGGCGUCGGCGGCGUGGGCGCGGUGCUCCGGCCGACCAAGUCCGCGCCCUGCUCCCCCGUCAAGCCGGCGGCGGUCUCCAUGCUGCGGACGCACUCCGACUCCUUCCAUGUGGCUCACAAGGUCCCCGUCGGCGACACGCCCUACGUCCGCGCCAAGCGCGUCCAGCUGGUGGACAAGGACCCGGAGAAGGCCAUCGCGCUGUUCUGGGGCGCGAUCAACGCCGGCGACCGCGUGGACAGCGCGCUCAAGGACAUGGCCAUCGUGAUGAAGCAGCAGAACCGCGCCGAGGAGGCCAUCGAGGCCAUCAAGUCGCUCCGCGUCCGCUGCUCCGACCAGGCGCAGGAGUCGCUCGACAACAUCCUCCUCGACCUCUACAAGAGGUGCGGGCGGCUGGACGACCAGAUCUCGCUGCUCAAGCACAAGCUGCAGCUCAUCCACCAGGGCCACGCCUUCAACGGCAAGCGCACCAAGACGGCCCGCUCCCAGGGCCGCAAGUUCCAGGUCACCCUCGAGCAGGAGGCCACCAGGCUCCUCGGCAACCUGGGGUGGGCGCUGAUGCAGAAGGAGAACUACACGGAGGCGGAGGGGGCGUACCGGCGGGCGCUGGUCAUCGGCCCGGACAACAACAAGAUGUGCAACCUGGGGAUCUGCCUCAUGAAGCAGGGCCGGGUGCUGGAGGCCAAGGACGUGCUCAAGCAGGUGCGCCCCGCCGGCGUCGACGGCCUCCGCGGCGCCGACUCCCACCUCAAGGCCUACGAGCGCGCGCAGGAGAUGCUCCGCGACCUCGAGGUCAAGCUCGUCGGCCGCCCCGGCUGGGCCGGCGCCAUUGGCGACAACCUCGUCGACAAGAAGUGGCUCUUCGACGCGCUCAUGCUCGGCUCCUCCUCCAGCAUCUGGCAGCCGCAGCCCUGCAUCGACCACCUGCUGCCCCCGCCGGCACCACAGCAGCCCCGCGACAGCUUCGCCGACGAGAACAACGCCGGCCCCGCCGCCGCCGCCGCAGCCGCGGGCAAGAAGAUGGCCGCUCUGCAGCAGCAGCAACAGCAGCAGCAGCAGGCCAACCUCAACAUCGACGCGCAGCCAUUCUACUCGCACCGCAUGCCGCCGCUGGCCGCCAAGCCACUGCAGAACGCACCGCGCCAGCAGCAGCUGCCGCAGCAGAAGCCUCCGGCGCAGAUGCAUCACGAUCCCAUGGGCAACCUGAAGAGGACGCGGUCCGGCACCGCCAUGGACAAGGCCGCGGCCGCGGCGGCAGCCGGGGAGAAGACCAAGGAGGAGCAGAGCAGCAACAAGGAGGCCGACAAGAACCAGGACGACACCAGCAACAACGGCCGGAGGAAGUCGCUCACCGCCGAGGAGAGGUGGCCGGAGCUGCCGGACCACAGCGCGUUCGACGAGGCCCUGGUGGCGUCGGUCCUGGCCCCGGUCCUCGCCGACGACGAGAACUGCAACACCGGCAAGCCGUCAGCAAAGGCGCCUCUAGCUCCGGCGAGCUGCUGCGACACGAGCCCGGCGGCGGUGAAGGAGAAGGUGGGGAAGAGGCUGAGGAUCUUCCAGGACAUCACGCAGACGCUCAACGUGCUCUGA